rnacentral:rRNA from 1 species
GACGAACGCUGGCGGCGUGCCUAAUACAUGCAAGUCGAGCGAGACUCUUCGGAGUCUAGCGGCGGACGGGUGAGUAACACGUGGGCAACCCGCCUGUAAGACUGGGAUAACACCGGGAAACCGGUGCUAAUACCGGAUAAUCCUUUUCCUCUCAUGAGGGAAAGCUGAAAGUCGGUUUCGGCUGACACUUACAGAUGGGCCCGCGGCGCAUUAGCUAGUUGGUGAGGUAACGGCUCACCAAGGCGACGAUGCGUAGCCGACCUGAGAGGGUGAUCGGCCACACUGGGACUGAGACACGGCCCAGACUCCUACGGGAGGCAGCAGUAGGGAAUCUUCCACAAUGGACGAAAGUCUGAUGGAGCAACGCCGCGUGAGCGAUGAAGGCCUUCGGGUCGUAAAGCUCUGUUGUUAGGGAAGAAUAAGUACCGGAGUAACUGCCAGUACCUUGACGGUACCUAACCAGAAAGCCACGGCUAACUACGUGCCAGCAGCCGCAGUAAAAC